AUGAAGCCACUGACUAGCUCUUUUGAAAAUCCGAUUGAUGCUAUUCCUGUCUCAUCCAUGCCAUCAAAGGACCUUGUUCCUUUUGAUGAAGAAUAUGUGAUCCCAAGUGGAUUAGAUGAAGAUAUUCCUUCUGCUGCUUCUUCAAAGCAGUUGGAUAAAGAAAUUGAAGCGGAUGCAAUCCCUUCAACCCCAAUAGUCUCAUCGCCCAUGCCUCAGUUCACUGCUGAAGAGGCCGGCGUUGAGGAAAUGAGUGAAGAAGAAGAUGUGGACAUUGGUAACACUACACCAGUGAUGAAUGAUGACUUUUGGGAAAGUCAGCACCCCAAUUCUCCUCUGUUCACACCUCUGCAACAAAUUCCUCAAUCCCCAGUGACUACAGUUCAAAUGGGAUCUGACGAACCUCGUGCCACCCCAUCUGUCCAUGAAGAAAUUCCAGCCACUAGUGCUGAAGAAAUUUUUAAUGAAGAAUUGAAGACCCAGGCUACCACUGAAGAAGAAACCGAAAUUCCUUAA
rnacentral:rRNA from 1 species